rnacentral:rRNA from 1 species
AUGGAUCCCAUGGCUGACAGUACAUAUAUACUAGCAAUGCCCGCGCGGCGACACGCUGCGCCCUGCCGAUACGUCAUGGUUGUAAAUGUCGUCCUUGUUACAUGCUAUAUAUUUUACUUUGAAGAGAAGUAUAUGAAUAAGAUUGUGAUCAUAAAAAAGAAAGGCAUGCACAGAAGCAAACUGAAAAUGAUACAUUUAUCGUCACUAUGCUUGGUGCAUAUUAAGGAACAUGGAGCACAUCUUGAUACAUUUCUACUAAGACCAAACACGGUAAAUCGGCAACUUGAGGAGGAUAUAUUAUUACUAGUAAGCAUGCACGUGCAACGCACGUCUCUCAAAUAUAACACAUGUUUUUAA